AGAAUCAACGCUGGCGGCGUGCCUAACACAUGCAAGUCGAACGAGAAAGCUUGGCUGUAGCAAUACAGCCGGGUGAGUAAAGUGGCGUACGGGUGAGUAACACGUAGCUAACCUACCCUCGAGUGGGAAUAACCUGGGAAACUCGGGCUAAUACCCCAUAACAUCCGGGUUGCACAAGUCAGACCGGAGCAAAGGCUCGCAAGGGCCGCUUGGGGAGGGGGCUGCGGCCGAUUAGCUAGUUGGUGAGGUAAUGGCUCACCAAGGCUUUGAUCGGUAG
rnacentral:rRNA from 1 species